GGCCUUGUAGCGCAAAAAAUAUCGCGUUGGACUUCUAAUCCAAAGGUCGUGGAUUCGAAUUCCGCCUGAGAAGGCCU